rnacentral:rRNA from 1 species
UACGGGGGGGGGCAAGCGUUGUUCGGAAUUACUGGGCGUAAAGGGCUCGUAGGUGGCCAACUAAGUCAGACGUGAAAUCCCUCGGCUUAACCGGGGAACUGCGUCUGAUACUGGAUGGCUUGAGUUCGGGAGAGGGAUGCGGAAUUCCAGGUGUAGCGGUGAAAUGCGUAGAUAUCUGGAGGAACACCGGUGGCGAAGGCGGCUCUCUGGGCCUUACCUGACGCUGAGGAGCGAAAGCGUGGGUAGCGAACAGG